rnacentral:rRNA from 1 species
GUGUCAGCAGCCGCGGUAAUACCAGCACCCCGAGUGGUCGGGAUGAUUAUUGGGCCUAAAGCAUCCGUAGCCGGUGUAACAAGUCCUCCGUUAAAUCCACCUGCUUAACAGGUGGGCUGCGGAGGAUACUGUUACACUAGGAGGCGGGAGAGGCGAGGGGUAUUCCACGGGUAGGGGUAAAAUCCUCUGAUCCGUGGAGGACCACCAGUGGCGAAGGCGCCUCGCCAGAACGCGCUCGACGGUGAGGGAUGAAAGCGGGGGGAGCAAACCGGAUUAGAUACCCGGGUAGUCCCAGCCGUAAACGAUGUAGGCUCGGUGAUGGACUGGCUCCGAGCCAGUCCAGUGCCGCAGGGAAGCCGUUAAGCCUACCGCCUGGGGAGUACGGCCGCAAGGCUGAAACUCAAAGGAAUUGACGGGG